CCCAGACAGCCAGGAUGUUGGCUUAGAAGCAGCCAUCAUUUAAAGAAAGCGUAAUAGCUCACUGGUCGAGUCGGCCUGCGCGGAAGAUGUAACGGGGCUAAACCAUGCACCGAAGCUGCGGCAGCGAACGUAUCACUUAAAGCGAUUCAGCGGGUUACGAUUGACGGAGCGAAGCGACGUCAAAGCGUAUACAAAGUCGAGUCGGUUUAAGGAUACGUUCGUUGGGUAGGGGAGCGUUCUGUAAGCCUGUGAAGGUGGCCUGUGAGGGUUGCUGGAGGUAUCAGAAGUGCGAAUGCUGACAUAAGUAACGAUAAAGCGGGUGAAAAGCCCGCUCGCCGGAAGACCAAGGGUUCCUGUCCAACGUUAAUCGGGGCAGGGUGAGUCGACCCCUAAGGCGAGGCCGAAAGGCGUAGUCGAUGGGAAACGGGUUAAUAUUCCCGUACUUGGUGUUACUGCGAAGGGGGGACGGAGAAGGCUAUGUUGGCCGGGCGACGGUUGUCCCGGUUUAAGCGUGUAGGCUGGUUUUCCAGGCAAAUCCGGAAAAUCAAGGCUGAGGCGUGAUGACGAGGCACUACGGUGCUGAAGCAACAAAUGCCCUGCUUCCAGGAAAAGCCUCUAAGCAUCAGGUAACAUCAAAUCGUACCCCAAACCGACACAGGUGGUCAGGUAGAGAAUACCAAGGCGCUUGA
rnacentral:rRNA from 2 species